UGUUGGUUUAGUGCAAGACUUUGUUGAGUAUAAAACCCCUUCUAAAUUUUUUUUUGAACAGGGGAUGUGCUGAGAAUUCGGUUUUAAACGAUUAUAGGUUUAUUUCAAAUGUGCUUGUAUUGAAACUUGAUGCUAAAGUGAAUGAAUGAAUUUCGAGAAAAAAUUCUUUAUGCGGACCUUGCCGCUUUUUGAUUUUUGAUAUUGUAACUGUAGAUUGUACAGUGUACAUAUGUUUAAUAUGCGGACCUGGCCGCUUUUAUCACGGACCUGGCCGUGAU
rnacentral:lncRNA from 1 species